UGAUCUAGUCCAAGUGGUUGGAGUCUAGCGCGUAGAUUCCACGUAAAGCUUCGGACCUUGUUUCGAAUCAGUCUUGGUACCUCUUUCUCAAUCUCUCUUUCGCAACUCGCUGUUGUUGAUGUUGUUGUCGUUAGGAAAAUGAGGUAAUCCAAAUUACCUUUUCUUUUUACGUCACUUCUAUUAUUAUUAUAGUAUCAAUAAUUACAAUUUAUUUAUUUAUUGAAGGAUUAUCUUGUUGUAAC
rnacentral:sRNA from 1 species